rnacentral:rRNA from 1 species
UAACGCGAAGAACCUUACCAGGUCUUGACAUCCUCUGACAAUCCUAGAGAUAGGACGUCCCCUUCGGGGGCAGAGUGACAGGUGGUGCAUGGUUGUCGUCAGCUCGUGUCGUGAGAUGUUGGGUUAAGUCCCGCAACGAGCGCAACCCUUGAUCUUAGUUGCCAGCAUUCAGUUGGGCACUCUAAGGUGACUGCCGGUGACAAACCGGAGGAAGGUGGGGAUGACGUCAAAUCAUCAUGCCCCUUAUGACCUGGGCUACACACGUGCUACAAUGGACAGAACAAAGGGCAGCGAAACCGCGAGGUUAAGCCAAUCCCACAAAUCUGUUCUCAGUUCGGAUCGCAGUCUGCAACUCGACUGCGUGAAGCUGGAAUCGCUAGUAAUCGCGGAUCAGCAUGCCGCGGUGAAUACGUUCCCGGGCCUUGUACACACCGA